AUGAAAAUUAAGUACUUCCCGAAAAAGGAUAUGAAACUGAAUUGAAAUUGGAUGAUGACGGAAAUACUUCGUUCAAAUCCUCAAGAGAUAUAGAAAGGAGCCAAUCAGAUGAUGAAAAUGAAAAUGAAAAUCCACCCAAAUCAAAAAAUGCAGUUUUUUCAAGGCUCAACUACUAUGUUGUCUGGGAACACCUUCAAAAAGGCUUUAAUUGUAUUAAUAAAAUUUGGGAACAAAAGAAGAGACAUAAGUUAGCAGAGCAUCUAGCUAACUUGCUAGUGAAGAAGGACGAGUCGUGGCUAUAUUCUCAUAACGAUAUCCAGCCACUGGUUGUGUUACCAGAUGAUUUUCCCUCCAACGUCACAGAGAAAAGAAAAGAAAUUGAGCUGAAGAAGAAUGAGAAAAUCAAGCAGCAAAAUAAACAAA